AGUGAACGCUGGCGGUAGGCCUAACACAUGCAAGUCGAACGGCAGCACAGUAAGAGCUUGCUCUUACGGGUGGCGAGUGGCGGACGGGUGAGGAAUACAUCGGAAUCUACUUUUUCGUGGGGGAUAACGUAGGGAAACUUACGCUAAUACCGCAUACGACCUACGGGGGAAAGCAGUGGAACUUCGGACCUUGCGCGAUUGAACGAGCCGAUGUCGGAUUAGCUAGUUGGCGGGGUAAAGGCCCACCAAGGCGACGAUCCGUAGCUGGUCUGAGAGGAUGAUCGGCCACACUGGAACUGGGCCACGGUCCAGACUCCUACGGGAGGCAGCAGUGGGGAAUAUUGGACAAUGGGCGCAAGCCUGAUCCAGCCAUACCGCGUGGGUGGAGAAGGCCUUCGGGUUGUAAAGCCCUUUUGUUGGGAAAGAAAAGCAGCAGGUUAAUACCCCGCUGUUCUGACGGUACCCAAAGAAUAAGCACCGGCUAACUUCGUG
rnacentral:rRNA from 1 species